ACCCUUUCACUCUCAUUUACACCCUCCUAUAUAUUAAUACCACUCAAUCGUUUCCUUAUUCUAUACACACACUUUUUUGUCAAAACAUAUUCAAUAUUCAACACCCAAGCUUUCAAACCUCUUUUCAACUUGCUGUUGCAAUGGCUGACAUAGAUCGCUCCUCUAAUAAUUCUUCUCCUGAUUCUAAAGUGAAAUCCCUACAAACUUCGACUGUGGAAUUUUCUGAGGCUGAGGAAAUCCUUAUUGCCAUGGUGUAUAAUCUGGUCGGGGAGAGGUGGUCUUUGAUUGCUGGAAGAAUUCCUGGAAGAACUGCAGAAGAGAUAGAGAAGUAUUGGACUUCAAGAUAUUCGAGCAGCCAGUGAAAUGGCUGAGAAUGAAG